AUAAUCAAAGAAGGCUAUCUUCUAAAGGCUAAAAUUGCAGAUGAAGGCAAGAAGCUAAGGAAAAACUGGACUACUUCUUGGAUUGUUCUCACUGGACGAAAAAUAGAAUUUUAUAAGGAAUCCAAACAGCCAGCUGUGCCCAAUCUGAAAGGGACCAAACCUGAGUGGCUGGACUUGUGUGGAGCUCAGAUUGAGUGGACCAAGGAAAAAUCUAGCAAAAAGAAUGUCU